UUCUGACUUCAGGAUUCUGAUUU
rnacentral:miRNA from 1 species